rnacentral:rRNA from 1 species
AGAGUUUGAUCCUGGCUCAGGAUGAACGCUGGCGGCGUGCUUAAUACAUGCAAGUCGAACGAAGACAGUAGCAAUAUUGUCUGAGUGGCGAACGGGUGAGUAACGCGUUGGUGACCUGCCCCGAAGAGAGGGAUAACAGUCCGAAAGGAUUGCUAAUACCCCAUGUGGUUAUUUGGAUUAGAUGCCUUAUAACUAAACGGAUUUAUUCGCUUCGGGAGGGACCUGCGUCCCAUCAGCUAGUUGGUAGGGUAACGGCCUACCAAGGCUAUGACGGGUAGGGGACCUGAGAGGGUGGCCCCCCCACAAUGGAACUGAAACACGGUCCAUACACCUACGGGUGGCAGCAGUAGGGAAUAUUGGUUAAUCUGCGAAAGCGGGAACCAGCAACGCCGCGUGCACGAUGAAGGCCUUCGGGUUGUAAAGUGCUUUUUGAAAGGAUGAGGAAGGACAGUACUUUCAGAAUAAGCUUCGGCUAACUACGUGCCAGCAGCCGCGGUAAAACGUAGGAAGCGAGCGUUAUCCGGAUUUACUGGGCGUAAAGCGUGUGUAGGCGGUUUGACAAGUUGGAUGUGAAAGCUCCUGGCUUAACUGGGAGAGGUCGUUCAAAACUGUCAGACUCGAGAGUGGUAGAGGGAGGUGGAAUUCCGGGUGUAGUGGUGAAAUGCGUAGAUAUCCGGAGGAACACCAGUGGCGAAAGCGGCCUCCUGGCCCAUUUCUGACGCUCAGACACGAAAGCUAAGGUAGCAAACGGGAUUAGAGACCCCGGUAGUCUUAGCUGUAAACGAUGUGAACUUAGUGUCGGCGGGUUUAAAUCCGUCGGUACUGAAGCAAACGCGAUAAGUUCACCGCCUGGGGACUACGGCCGCGAGGUUAAAACUCAAAGGAAUUGACGG